UACGCGAGGAACCUUACCAAGGCUUAAAUGGGAAUUGACAGACGCAGAAAUGUGUUUUUCUUCGGACAAUUUUCAAGGUGCUGCAUGGUUGUCGUCAGCUCGUGCCGUGAGGUGUUAGGUUAAGUUCUGCAACGAGCGCAACCCCUGUCACUAGUUGCCAUCAUUAAGUUGGGGACUCUAGUGAGACUGCCUACGCAAGUAGGGAGGAAGGUGGGGAUGACGUCAAAUCAUCACGGCCCUUACGCCUUGGGCCACACACGUAAUACAAUGGCCGGUACAGAGGGCAGCUACACAGCGAUGUGAUGCGAAUCUCGAAAGCCGGUCUCAGUUCGGAUUGGAGUCUGCAACUCGACUCUAUGAAGCUGGAAUCGCUAGUAAUCGCGCAUCAGCCAUGGCGCGGUGAAUACGUUCCCGGGCCUUGUACACACCGCCCGUCAAGCCAUGGAAGUCUGGGGUACCUGAAGUCGGUGACCGUAACAGGAGCUGCCUAGGGUAAAACAGGUAACUAGGGCUAAGUCGUAACAAGGUAGCC
rnacentral:rRNA from 1 species